rfam:Gossypium hirsutum cultivar TM-1 chromosome 11, whole genome shotgun sequence
UGUUAAAAAUAUUAUCUAUUCCUACUGUUAAAAAAUUAACGCGACUAACAAAAUAACCAUACAAUUACAUGUGACAUGCCAUGUGUACCUCAUUUUGACAUACAAGAACCAUUUUUUAACAAUAGAAAUGGAUGGAAUUUUUAACA